rnacentral:rRNA from 1 species
CCUACGGGAGACAGCAGUGGGGAAUAUUGGACAAUGGGGGGAACCCUGAUCCAGCGACGCCGCGUGAGUGAAGAAGUAUUUCGGUAUGUAAAGCUCUAUCAGCAGGGAAGAAAGAAAUGACGGUACCUGACUAAGAAGCCCCGGCUACCUACGUGCCAGCAGCCGCGGUAAUACGUAGGGGGCAAGCGUUAUCCGGAUUUACUGGGUGUAAAGGGGGCGUAGACGGCGAUGCAAGUCUGAAGUGAAAGGCGGGGGCCCAACCCCCGGACUGCUUUGGAAACUGUAUGGCUGGAGUGCAGGAGAGGUAAGUGGAAUUCCUGGUGUAGCGGUGAAAUGCGUAGAUAUUAGGAGGAACACCAGUGGCGAAGGCGGCUUACUGGACUGUAACUGACGUUGAGGCACGAAAGCGUGGGGAGCAAACAGGAUUAGAUACCCUGGUAGUC